GACAGAUAUCGCAGCUCCUUAUCACCUGAAAGUGCCGAGGCAUUGAUAACAACUCGUGAUUGGAUAUAUGGAAUCGGAGCUGCAUCAACUGAUGUUGAGGAAGUGAAAGAUAAUGAUAUUAGUGAGGAUGUAUUGGCAUUUGAUCCGGCAAACAACAAUGAGGCAAUUCAUACUGGAGCAUCUUGAAGUGAUACACUUCUAGACACAAUUACAAAGAUACAUGGAAAAAGAACAUUUUUUGGGCACUGAUUUAGGAAAUAUUUUGGACUUCCAUAUGAUAUCACUGUCUCCUAUUUUUUGUAUAAAUAUGAAGGGAGACACUAACGAUAUAUAUUGUAUAUGUGACUGCAUAUGAGGGUUUAGGACCUUUAGGUUGUGAUUCAAGAUUUCAAAGUCAGUUCAGUAGACGGUAGCUUCAGUUCAGUACUUCAGUUUGUCCACUUUUGUAUAUAAAAGGACAAACAUAGAUAAUAGUUACUGUCACUUUGAGGAUUCUUAUAUGAAUCACAAUCCUGGACCUAUAUCCUUAAUUCCUUAUUAAUGAAUAUGAUACUUUUUGUGCAGGAAUAAGGAAUUGGUUG